rnacentral:lncRNA from 1 species
AGAUCUCUCACUACGGACCGCAUGCUGACGGACUUCCCUGGGCCUGCUACCUGAGACCUCCUGCUUCCUCUCGGACUCACUCUGCGGCUUCUUCCUGGACCCACCUGGUACCUGCACCCUCUCGUUGCCCAAGACCAUCCUCACUGCUCCUGCCCUUUGGCUGUGGACCAUUGAAACGGCGUGCAACAGACUCCUGCUGGAUCUUGGUGCAAGAACCUCCUCUGCUGAUACUGCAAAAUUGACUCCACUACUCUGAGGAUGAGGAAAGUAUUCAUAAAAGAACCUUGAACCAGCUCUGCCUAGUUCUUUAAUUUUUGAGCAUGUAGGAUACAGCUGAGCUAUUUCAAAACUCUACAUGGGAAUGUUUUAAUGGGAAUGUUUUGACUCUUCAUGUUUUUAGAUGUUUCUUAAUUCAAGCUAAAUGGCUGUGUAAGUACCUCUAGUACAUGCAGUAGGGACUAACGUUUUAAAAAUGUGGAGCUUCAACUUGUACCCGUAGGAGAAGUUCUUAGUUUUUCAAACUGCAUAGCAUCAAAAUAGAAGAAUAGAUGAGCAUACUUUGGGGGCUCUUGAAGAAAUGUGAUUGUUUCUUUCAUCAGCUGAAGUGAGUACUUGCCUAAAGGCUGAUUUCUAUGUGAACACAACCUGGAAAGUUUUCAGGGUAGUGAGUCCACGGGAGCUUUGACAAGCAUGGCAUGCAGGCUGGUGAAAAUACACAGCUAAUGGUUCUGGCUGUGUUGAAAAGGAGUGUUUUGUAGCAGAGAAUGUACUCUAUUAAUCAGUGUUAUUGUAUGUACAUACCUAUUUUGUUUGUCCUGAGGGAAAAAAAUGAUCUAAACAGUAUUAAAAUAUGUUAUCAAAUUGCAUUAACAUUUAUUCAUGUUACAAUAUAUAUUUAAGAUAAUUUCAAUAAACUAAUUUUUGUUUUGAUAGAGAUACAGAAACUGAUGUUGAUGUUUCAACUCAAGUUGAAAAAACAGUAGCUUGAAAACAGUGGGAAAAUAAAGGAAUUUUAUUGAAAACUGGUGUUCAUUCAAGGAAUUAUUAUUACUUGUUGAUAAUGAUUAAAGAGUGUAUUUUGAAGACUUUCCAUGCAUUGUGGUUUUACAUGGCUUUGAAUAAACAGAAUAUGUUGCACUAGGUAUUGAACACUACCAAUCUUUACAUCAUCACUGUAGACGCACCUUUGAAAUGUCAUAUUUUAUCUUACUUUGUUGCUUAUUGGGAGAAAUAAGAAUUUACUAUACUUCUAAUACAUAGUACUUAAACCAAUGAGUAAAAUGUGAUUGCUCAACUACACUUAGCAAAGAAUGAGAUAAUUG